GAGACCCCCAUCCUUUGUUGCUAAGCUUUCUCUACGGAGGGAGCCGCACACGGAGGAGACUGCCAGUGUUAAACUGGAGGAGGGAGGGGGCUACGGCAGGUCAGCAUGCCCCGAAUCUCCCGGGCCACACGCGGGCUGCAAUGGCGAGGACAGCGGGUUCCGACCCCGAAAGGGGAAGGUAAUCCCUUAAACCUCGCCGUGGUUGGGAUUGAGGGCUGUAACCCGCCCUCAUGAACAUGGAAUCCCUAGUAACCGCACGUCACCAUCGCGCGGUGAAUAC
rnacentral:rRNA from 1 species